GUUGGGUUAAGUCCCGCAACGAGCGCAACCCUUAUCUUUAGUUGCCAUCAUUGAGUUGGGCACUCUAAAGAGACUGCCGGUGUCAAACCGGAGGAAGGUGGGGAUGACGUCAAGUCCUCAUGGCCUUUAUGACCAGGGCUACACACGUACUACAAUGGCCGGUACAAAGGGCAGCGACACAGCGAUGUGAAGCGAAUCCCGAAAAGCCGGUCUCAGUCCGGAUUGGAGUCUGCAACUCGACUCCAUGAAGUUGGAAUCGCUAGUAAUCGCGGAUCAGCACGCCGCGGUGAAUACGUUCCCGGGCCUU
rnacentral:rRNA from 1 species